AUUGAACGCUGGCGGCAUGCCUUACACAUGCAAGUCGAACGGCAGCACGGGAGCAAUCCUGGUGGCGAGGGCGAACGGGUGAGUAAUAUAUCGGAACGUGCCCAGUCGUGGGGGAUAACGCAGCGAAAGUUGUGCUAAUACCGCAUACGAUCUAUGGAUGAAAGCGGGGGAUCGCAAGACCUCGCGCGAUUGGAGCGGCCGAUAUCAGAUUAGGUUGUUGGUGAGGUAAAAGCUCACCAAGCCUGCGAUCUGUAGCUGGUCUGAGAGGACGACCAGCCACACUGGAACUGAGACACGGUCCAGACUCCUACGGGAGGCAGCAGUGGGGAAUUUUGGACAAUGGACGCAAGUCUGAUCCAGCAAUGCCGCGUGAGUGAAGAAGGCCCUCGGGUUGUAAAGCUCUUUUGUCCGGAAAGAAAAGCGCCGGGUUAAUACCCUGGUGUCCUGACGGUACCGGAAGAAUAAGCACCGGCUAACUUCGUG
rnacentral:rRNA from 1 species